CAAGACAGUCCCUCUUAAAGAAGCUUCUAGGUGCAUGGGUGUGACAGGUGCUGUAGACUCUUCAGAGGGUCAUGACAAAGGUGAGUACAGUUAGAAUAUCUGUCCUUUCUAGGAGAGGGACCAUUGUAUUGAGCCUUGGGAUGACUGAGCUGAGUGGAUGAAGGUGGUGGUAGGUGGAGAGUUGAAGCCCCUUCCCAUCAAGGAGCUGGAGCUGCACAUGAAAAGGCCCGAGUGAUGGAAUGUGAGCACAAUCCCUGCAGUGACUUCCAGACCAAGGUGGUGAAGAAGCAGGAGUUCUUUCUCCGUCCUCUCUCAUCUUAUCUACUAUUUGUGUUGAUAGGAUGACCCUGAACUACCUGUUGAAUGUAUCCGAGCCUCUGUGUUGGCUGGGACCCUUAAUGACUUCAAGGACAGAGCCCAACCCCAAACCACAUGCCAAACACAAUGUCACCUUUAAUUUUGACAUAGCAAUAAAUCUUUUUAUUGUUAAA